rnacentral:lncRNA from 10 species
CUGCUUUCCCCAUCAUCUGGAAGCCCUGAUCCAUUCUCACCUAGCGGCUACAGGAAGCUGUGUCUGUUCGAUUUGGUGGGAGGAGAUGUGCAGGGAGCUGUAUCUUGUCCUCCGCUUGUGAAAAACUCAAGGAUGUGGAGAAGAGUAGACCGUGGAACCCUGCUCUUCUGCAGCCAAGCUGAGGGGCAGGAUGCGUGUGGGACAGUGGUAGAGAAGCAGGGGAUAGACUCAUAGGCUGCAACAAAGGUGACUCUGUCCCUGGACACUGCCUCCGUACUUUCUCCUUGCUUCACUGGCCACAGCAUCUCCCUCCAGCCCUCGCUAUGUGCCUCUGCCAUCUUCACCCAUCAUGGAGCAGAGGUGAGGAGAGGCAGCCUGGGAAUAUGGAGACCAGUGAAGGACCAGGCCUGGAGAGCACAGGGUCCUACCUGGGCAUCCAGCAGAGGAGCCCCUAAAGGCCAGGAGCACCCCAAGAGGAGGGAGGGCAGCCAGCCUCCAUUGACGGCGAGCCUCCAGCCCUCUCCUACUUUGAUCACCAUUUCUCUCCAGGCUUUCUGCCUCCGAGAUGUGGCACCAUAGUGCGGUGCCCUGUGGCUUCACCGCCCUACUUCCACCUCCGCCCAGCCUGUAAUGUUUAUAUAAGCAGCCUCAAGGACCAAGAACCAUCUGCGAAAGGACACACACAGGAAAUUCAUAAAAGAAAUCUGAAUGGAUAAAACCAUGAAAAAAAGUAUGCUUCAUUAGUAAUUAAAGAAAGGCAAAUAGAGCUGGAAGCAUUUUUCCCUUAGCAAACCAUAACAGAAAAAAAUAAGACCCAAUAUUGGCAAAGAGACUACUGAAAAAACAUUCCCAUACAUUGCGUGUGGGAGUAUACAUCGGUGCAGGCUUCCUGGAUGACAGUUGGGUGAUAUGUGUCAUGUGGCCUAAAAGCCUCCAUGUCAUUUGACCUACGAAUUCUAUCUUUGGGAAUUUAUCCUAAGAAAAUACUUAAGGAUUUAGUUAGUGAUAAGAUGUUCAUCCCAGCAUUGCAAUGGAGAAAAAUGGGAAGCAAUGGUUUGGUUGGGAAUUUAUUCCUUUUCUGCUGUAACGAAAGUUUGCAAUAGGGGAUUGCUUAAGUAAAUUAUUGUAUCUCCAUCCAGAUGGUGGAGUACCGCGCAGACAUUAAAAGUCAUGUAAAAGAACAUCUGACUGAAAGAAAAAUGCUCCUUGAAUAUUAAAAGGUUGUAAAAAUAGUGCAUGUUAUGUGAUUUCAAUUUUGUUUUUUAAAAUAUGGGUGUAUGCUUGUAUACGUAGAGCAGAUAAAAAAGACGGAAGGCAUACUAAAAAAUGUUGAGUGGUUAUCUUUGUAUGGUGGAACAAAGUCACUGUAAUUUUCAUCUUUGGUUUUUCUGUAAUUUCCAAAUUUUC